rnacentral:rRNA from 1 species
UGCAGCCGCGGUAAUUCCAGCUCCAAUAGCGUAUAUUAAAGUUGUUGCAGUUAAAAAGCUCGUAGUUGAAUUUCGGGAUUGGCGUGUCGGUCGUGCCUUACGGGGUAUGAACUGGCGUCGUCGAUUUCUCACCUUCUGGAGAAUCACGAUGCCCUUAAUUGGGUGUCGUGUGGAACCAGGACCUUUACCUUGAAAAAUUAGAGUGUUUAAAGCAGGCAUUUUUGCUCGAAUACAUUAGCAUGGAAUAAUAAAAUAGGACGGUUUGGUUCUAUUUUGUUGGUUUCUAGGAUCACCGUAAUGAUUAAUAGGGAUAGUUGGGGGCAUUAGUAUUCAAUUGUCAGAGGUGAAAUUCUUGGAUUUAUUGAAGACUAACUACUGCGAAAGCAUUUGCCAAGGAUGUUUUCAUUAAUCAAGAACGAAAGUUAGGGGAUCGAAGACGAUCAGAUACCGUCGUAGUCUUAACCAUAAACUAUGCCGACUAGGAAUCAGACGAUGUAAUUUUUUUAAUGUACUCGUUUUG